rnacentral:rRNA from 1 species
GUAGGUGGCAAGCGUUGUCCGGAAUUAUUGGGCGUAAAGCGCGCGCAGGCGGUCCUUUAAGUCUGAUGUGAAAGCCCGCGGCUCAACCGUGGAGGGUCAUUGGAAACUGGGGGACUUGAGUACAGAAGAGGAAAGCGGAAUUCCAAGUGUAGCGGUGAAAUGCGUAGAGAUUUGGAGGAACACCAGUGGCGAAGGCGGCUUUCUGGUCUGUAACUGACGCUGAGGCGCGAAAGCGUGGGGAGCAAACAGGAUUAGAUACCCUGGUAGUCCACGCCGUAAACGAUGAGUGCUAAGUGUUAGGGGGUUUCCCGCCCCCUUAGUGCUGCAGCUAACGCAUUAAGCACUCCGCCUGGGGAGUACGGCCGCAAGGCUG